rnacentral:lncRNA from 1 species
CAAAUAUUUAUAUUCAAAAACGGAGGAAGUACACUAUAAGUAACUUUAUUUUAAUUACUUUUAUUUUAAUUUUCAAUGUAAUUGUUAUCUAGCCUAGUGAACUACGGUGGUAAUUUUUCAUAUCUGUGACGUUACUAUUUGUCUUUAUUUGGCACGUAUGCAUAUAUAGGUUAGGUGGCGAUCGUGGUCAGGAUGGUAUGACUGCGAAAUUGUUUAUAUAAAUUUAUUUAUUUUGUCUUUUCGCUAUAAUAUAUAGGCAACGGUGAAAUCUAAAAGUUGUUGGGCCACCCUCUCACCCUAGCUCUGAGGCUUCAUGGGUUACAUUGAAGCUAAGCGUUAUGUUGUGUUUGUGUAUUUCACUAAAUUAUAUAAUCAUAUAACAUACUCCAUCAAAAUUCCAUUUUUUUAAAUCAAAUCAUAAAUAACCCUUCAUAAUACUGAUUUUGUUAAAAAAUAUAGCAUCAGUGAAUUUCAUGGUCCGUACGUCUAACGUAACAUGAGUCUUUUCUGUGUGGCUUCUUCCAAGAUGGUACUGUAAGAGCAACUCUAGCGGACCCUGUAUAAUCAUGACCUGCAAACGCGUUUUGCAGUUCGACGAAGUGGGGUUUUGCGGGACGAAAAGUUACGCUGCAGAACAGAACCCGCAUAAUGAAACUGCAUAAUUUGAAAAAUAAACAUUCGCGGGGAAAUUGGAACCAUAGUCAUGAUCAUACAACACUACAUUCAAUACUAGAGGGGGGCAUCACCUACUCGACCUCAUCGGAGCUCACCAGAUCUACUACCUAUCCUACCGCACUACGCAAAAUGGAGCUCACCGAAGUCGAGCUCGUGCAGUAGUAGAUAUCCUAC